UUCCUUUAGAAUAUAUUUAAAGGUAUUGCCUGCUCAAUGUGAAAAUUAAUAGCUGCGGUAUCUUAACUGCACUAAGGUAGCGUAAUUAAUUGUCUUUUAAAUGGUGACUUGUUUGAAUGGUAAAAUGAGAAAACAACUAUCUUUGGUUUAAAUAGAAUUUAUAAUUUAAGGUUAAAAUACCUAAAUAUAAAAGAAAGACGAGAAGACCCUGUUGAGUUUUACAAAAUUAAUUAUUUUGUUAAAAUGGGAAAUUUAAUUCUUUAAUAGAAUUUUGUAGAUCCUGAAAGAUUUUAAAAGUCUUUUGGAUGUAGGAUAAAAUUACCACAGGGAUAACAGGACUAUAUUUUCUAAGAGUUCAAAUUGAAGAAAAUGUUUGUUACCUCGAUGUUGAAUCGAAAUUGCUUUUUAGUGCAGCAGCUAGGAUAGCAGGUCUGUUCGACCUUUAAAAUUUC
rnacentral:rRNA from 1 species